UUCUCUAUAAUGUCUUAAUAGCAAGAUUUCACCCAGAACUGUGGUGUAGAGAGUAACAUUGGCCUCUUUAAAUGACAUAUAUAUUUCAACAAAUGGCUUAAUGGGUCAGUUUAUUUUUACCAUUUUUUUUUCUUUUUCUUCAUGCAUGUGUUUUUUGGUCUAUCUUAGGUUGAAGACGCAACACUUAGAGAACAAAUCGCACAGUACAACAGUCGGUUACGAGAUUUUGAAGAAAGGCAGCAACAGUAUCGUGACUCUCAAGCCCGCCAGGCCGAGGCCGAAGCUGAGGCCAUGGUGUUCUGGAGGUAGUGUCUCAUCAGUUGUGCGUCCAGUCCCUCCUCUGGGUCAAGCCGUCAAACCCCUCUCACCCCAAGGUUCAUAGCUCCUUUUGAUCAUUGGAGCCUAUCUCUUCUGGCUUAAUUCAAUGAACCUCUAGGAUGAGAACCACCGGUAACAGGGUGAUCACUCCCCCAUUCGGUGGCAAUGAUGAAGAUUUUUUGGGGAUUUUAACUUCUCAGUUUAACGCCAUGCAGCGCCAUCUUGUUUCAUGUCCUGAGCGUCAUCUUUUGGGCUGGAUACCACAGGAUUAGAUGCAGUUUGAUGUUAAACUGAGAAUUUUUUUUACUUUCAUGGAGGGGAUGAUAUGGACUAGAUUGCCAGAACUCUUUUACUUCAGAAAGAAGAGAUCUCAAUAAUACUAUACACAUUAAUAUAUAUAUAUUAUAUGUUGUUGGAAGAUGGUGUUAUCUUUUUUCCACAGAUGUCUAGACAUGGAUGUGUCUUUUCUUUAUAUAGUCUAUAAUGAGCACUGACAUAGUGUGUUUUAUAUAAUGUCCAAGUGGCAGUUUUGUCUUGUGGUCACAAACACGGAGUGGAUAUUUAACCUUAUUAUGGUGCUUUUUAAAGAGUAAAUUGUCUGAAAAAUUGAAAGCCAAUUUAAUGACUUGGUCAUAACAUAUCUGUAUGUCAGUGCUAUAUGUUUUUGCUAUUGUCACAGUUUUCUUUGUUUUCAUGUCACUUGAAAACUUAGGGUGAUAUUUUUAUUUCUCUUGCGGGUCAGGAGGAGAACUGACUUAAAGGUAUAACUCCGAGCAGCAACUUUAAUGUUUGGAGUUCUGAACAGAGCUGCUUAUGUAAAUGAAAAGCAUACCAAGUAUGAUAAAAUAAUAACAUGUUUUUCACUCUUUUUUUUUUGCCAGUUUCUUAAUCUGUAAAUUAAAAAAUCUUUGAAAUGUUAUUUUGUCAUUGCUUCAUGUUGAAAUAUAUGUGGUCAAUGUUAGUAAAAUAAAUGCAGUUCUCCUUUUUAUAGAGAGAUGAAAAUAUCUAGAUUGUAAUUUACAAUGAGAAGUAGUCACAAGUCACAGGAGUAGGUACAAGUCAGGCUGAUUUUCAUUUUAGCAUGUACUUUGAGGUUAACCCGACUGAAAAGUUAAACACAGCUUCCUGGUAUAAAUUUGGAACAAAUAGUUAAUUAAUUUCAUGAAAAGGUGCUGGGAUAACAAGAAAGAAAAAAUCCAGAAUGUGUUGUUAUGUCUGGUUUCCUUGGGCAAAAUUCAUUGCUCAGUCAAAAACCUGUUGAGGAGGUCACGAUGUGAUAGAGAGAAAAAUAGGUGUGAUACAUUUGCAUAGACUUUAUACUCAAUGACCUGUUUAUGUACAUUUUGAAAACAUCUCCAGACAGAGAAACAUGCCUGAGCUGCCUUAAAGCCACAUAUAGACCUCUUUUUUUUCAUGUAUUUAUAUUGGUCACAGACAUUUUGUGGUUUUUGUGUUUAUGCAAUGUCUGCUUGGCGACUUAGGGAAAAGUUGCCGGUAGCAGGUUCUUGUACUGACAGUCAUUUACAGUUAUAUCAUCUCUUUUUUUAGUUUUCUUUUUCUUUUUUAAUAUCAAUUUUGUGUUAAUUGUAUGGUGUAUGUAUAAAAGCAUACUGUCUCAAACUCAUGACACUAAUAGUAAUGCACAAUUAUUGGCGUAAAAGUAUGGAUGUAUAAGCUCUCUCCAAGCUACUGUAAACCUGUUUAAUGUACACAAUUGAUGUAUAUUCUUUAUUAUUAUGUGUGUGUUGUGAGACUGUGAUGAGAUCGUUGUCUAUAUAUAUAAAUAUAUAUGUAUGUUAUGGAAUAAAUGCUUUUUUUGCUCUUUACACUG